UACGUAGGGUGCAGGCGUUAAUCGGAAUUACUGGGCGUAAAGCGUGCGCAGGCGGCUAUGCAAGACAGAUGUGAAAUCCCCGGGCUCAACCUGGGAACUGCAUUUGUGACUGCAUGGCUAGAGUACGGUAGAGGGGGAUGGAAUUCCGCGUGUAGCAGUGAAAUGCGUAGAGAUGCGGAGGAACACCGAUGGCGAAGGCAGCCCCCUGGGCUAGCACUGACGCUCAGGCACGAAAGCGUGGGGAGCAAACAGG
rnacentral:rRNA from 1 species